rnacentral:rRNA from 1 species
AUUGAACGCUGGCGGCAUGCCUUACACAUGCAAGUCGAACGGCAGCACGGGUGCUUGCACCUGGUGGCGAGUGGCGAACGGGUGAGUAAUACAUCGGAACGUACCUUAUCGUGGGGGAUAACGCAGCGAAAGCUGUGCUAAUACCGCAUACGCCCUGAGGGGGAAAGCGGGGGAGCGCAAGACCUGGAGCGAUUAGAGCGGCCGAUGCCUGUUUAGCUUGUUGGUGGGGUAAAAGCCCACCAAGGCGACGAUCAGUAGCUGGUCUGAGAGGACGAUCAGCCACACUGGGACUGAGACACGGCCCAGACUCCUACGGGAGGCAGCAGUGGGGAAUUUUGGACAAUGGGGGCAACCCUGAUCCAGCAAUGCCGCGUGAGUGAAGAAGGCCUUCGGGUUGUAAAGCUCUUUUGUCAGGGAAGAAACACCGGCUCUAACACAGUCCGGGAAUGACGGUACCUGAAGAAUAAGCACCGGCUAACUACGUGCCAGCAGCCGCAGUAA